rnacentral:lncRNA from 1 species
AAUUUUGGCAAUCAUUUUGACUAACUGCUAAGAUUUAAUUAUUCAUGAAAAAUUUUCUUCGGGUGAAACUGUUAAUACUUUAAUUAUCUACAUCUGCCACAGUAUUUUCUAUCCAAUAUACAAGGAACAUUAGCUACAAAUUGGUCAUUGUACUUUCAAAUUAUAUACAUUUUACAGACUUAAGAGGUAUUGGGUGAAAGUAACGUAUAUUAUGUAUAUUCAUCAUUUAACACCAUUUGAAUGCAUUUAAAUAAGUUGGUACGAGUUAGCAAUGGUACGAGUUUGCAUUGGUACAAGUUUUUUUUUGUGGUACGAGUUUACAAUGGUACAGGAUAACUAUAAUUCGAUAAAACACAAUAAGUACAUGGCUCAUACACUUGUAACGGGGAUUGGCUAUUCUUUAAGUUGAGUGACUAUUCAGAUUGUUACAUUUUGCAUGUGCAGUUGAAUUAGUUUAGAGAUUAAUACUAUCCAGCUGUACCAGGGUUACUGGCCAAAAAUGCUUGAGACUCCCGCA